GGGGGGGGGGGGGGGGGGGCCGGGCGCGUGGCAGGCGGACGGCAGCGCAGUAAGAGCUGGCUCUUACGGGUGGCGAGUGGCGGACGGGUGAGGAAUACAUCGGAAUCUACUUUUUCGUGGGGGAUAAAGUAGGGGACCUUACGCUAAUACCGCAUCCGACCUACGGGUGAACGCAGGGGAUCUUCGGACCUUGCGCGAUUGAAUGAGCCGAUGUCGGAUUAGCUAGUUGGCGGGGUAAAGGCCCACCAAGGCGACGAUCCGUAGCUGGUCUGAGAGGAUGAUCAGCCACACUGGAACUGAGACACGGUCCAGACUCCUACGGGAGGCAGCAGUGGGGAAUAUUGGACAAUGGGCGCAAGCCUGAUCCAGCCAUACCGCGUGGGUGAAGAAGGCCUUCGGGUUGUAAAGCCCUUUUGUUGGGAAAGAAAAGCAGCAGGUUAAUACCCCGCUGUUCUGACGGUACCCAAAGAAUAAGCACCGGCUAACUUCGUG
rnacentral:rRNA from 1 species